GGCUGGUCCGAAAGUAGUGAGUUAUCUCACUUGAUUGUUCACAUUCAGUUACAGAUUGAACUCCUUGUUCUACUACUUUCCCCCUCCUCACUACUGUAAAAGAACAAAAA
rnacentral:Y_RNA from 1 species